UAUCAGGGGCAGGUUCUGGAGUGAGGUUGUUUUGUUUUUUGUAUUGCUGCUUGUGUACGAAAUAACAGCCUCAUUCUUUCCAGGCACGAUUUUCCUCCUUUUGCUACCUGGUUCUUCACAGCUUUAGUAGAGGAGAGCAGAAGAGCAACACACCUGAGCAACACUUUGAGCUGAAGUGCCUACACAGACUGCAGAAGGCAAAAGAAGAAAAAAAGAUGACAACUCUGGUUUACUGUUGUUUGAGCACGGGGAUAAAGGUAGGGUCAGUGCCCAAGCCAACUGGAAAAUGAGAUUCUUUCUCAUGUCUUCACUCCAUGCUUAAUUGAAGCCUAUUCUCUGCUAGCUAGUGGGAAUCCUUUGUUGGCUUGAAUUAACAGCACUGCGAUCAGAGACCAGAGAAUUGCACAGUGUCCAUCUUGCAUGAAAGCUUGCAAGAAUUUGUUGUAGAUCUGGCUAAGAAAUCUGUCUGUGAUGCCCAACAGCCUUCAGCAUCCAGAAGAGCUCUCCUACAUGGCAGCACAGCAAGCUUCUUAAGAUGGGGUCUGGGAAUUUCUAAGGACUUUGAAAUACACCCCACAAUACAAGGGGGCAUAUUAAAGCCUAAUAAUGGUCACUUAGAUUAAAAUGAGAUAAACUACAAUGGUAGUGCAAACAUUUUUCGACUAAUUUGUUCUUGUUUUAAUGACCUUUUUGUGGUUAACUGUGUUGUGUUUUUGUGUAACUUUCAGAAAUGCCAGGC
ensembl:lncRNA